GAAGGGGGCAAGCGUUGUUCGGAAUUACUGGGCGUAAAGGGAGUGUAGGCGGUUAUGUAAGAUAGUGGUGAAAUCCCAGAGCUUAACUUUGGAAUUGCCAUUAUGACUAUGUGGCUAGAAUUACAGAGAGGAUAGUGGAAUACCCAGUGUAGAGGUGAAAUUCGUAGAUAUUGGGUAGAACACCAGUGGCGAAGGCGACUAUCUGGCUGUAUAUUGACGCUGAGGCUCGAAAGCAUGGGGAUCAAACAGGAUUAGAUACCCUGGUAGUCCAUGCUGUAAACGAUGAGUGCUUGUUGUCGGUGUAAAAUCGGUGACGAAGUUAACGCGUUAAGCACUCCGCCUGGGGAGU
rnacentral:rRNA from 1 species